GUUUCAAGGUGAGUUAAGAGGAUCGAUUGAAAAUUACCAUUGAUUUCAGGCAAUCGAUUCAGUGAGAUUAUUGUUUCAAUGGUGAAAAGUCACAACUUUCAAUUCAGUUUCAAAUUUUUGCCGUUAUGUUGAUGUCUCGACUUUUCCAAACGUAGUUCGUAACAAACCUCAACGACAUUCAAUACAUGGAAAAUCAAGUUCAUAACUAUUUCUUUGUAGUUUCGCUGAUUUACCUCAUUAUGGUUCAACUAGUAGUCUAUUGUUUAGCACUGCGGUCAUCAGUGGGUCAUCUAGUGCUCCAGAGUUGAAAGAUGCUCUUCAUCCCCUUCAGAUGGAAUUUCUAAUAUACCAUCGAUUCGGCCUUUAAGAGACUCUUCAUAAUGCUUCGUCUUUGAAACCACUUUGAAAUUGAAAACGCACUCACGGAAUUUUAGUCACUUUACCGAAUGAUUUUGUAUACUCUAAUUUUCCAGGAUGAGCUUUCUAAUUCAGAGUGUUAGAUCAUUUAAUUAAUGUUGUUCAAUCGCUUUUUCUUUGUAAGUGUUACAAUUGAAAUGAUUCAGGCCCUUAAUUAACAGUCAAUUCAGUAACUAAAACCAUGUUUAACUAUCGUCCAUGAGGAUAACCAAGCAGUUUAUUUUUAUCUCUUCAGUGAUUGUGUCUAACGAUGAAGGCCUAACAUCCUGACCUAUUCAGUUUCCACCAGUAACGAUUGAUUCAUCAAAAUGUGAUUUAUUUUUAGUAUUAACGUCACUUAAAUUAUGUUAAUUUUUUUAAUAAUCUUUCAGAUUAUCGACUCUAUUUGGGUCUUUCGUAUUCCAAAGUAUCUUCGAUACUCGAACCCUGUACUUGUGAUAGGAAUGGUACAAUUGGUGUACCAAUCAACUAUUCAGGUACUAAUCUCCCCAUCAUUAUUUUAUCUCCAAAAUCCAUAAGGAAGCCAAUUGAUAUUCUAACUUGAUUACAUUAAAUUGUUCACUUAAUCAAAUAAAAAAAUUGAGAGAUCACUUUUGCAGCGUAAUUCUCAACGAAAUGUGGUCCGAACUGCUUAACAGGUCACUUUAGCUAUAUAUCAUCCGAGAAAAUCGCUUCAUUAGCCAUGUAUGGAUUACCUAAUCGUGAACAGUUAAUUGCACGAGCCUUUGGUGGUAAACCAGGGGACGAUAAGGAUAAACUCAACCAAACCAUGAUAACUUUGGUUGAACUAUCGGAAACCGCUUAUAAUAUAACCGAUAAACUUUACGAAGACAACAAUUUACUUGAUUUACCUUAAAGAACUUGAAAUUGAUGCCACAAAGGAUUAAUUAUCAAUCGUCUCAUCGUCAUAAUCAAAAGCAAUCAAGAUCAGAGCAAUACUUCAUCUGUUGAACCAAAUCGAAUCUUACAUCGAAAUCGAUUGAUUUGUGUCUUAAAGCCAAGUGAAGAAAUAAUAAAACUAAAUUUGAAUCACCAAUUAACAAAACACCAAGUUGAAUAUCUUUUCUUAUUAAAGAAUAAGGUUAAUAUCUUUUUCCCGCCAAUCAAUUGAUCCAUUACAAAGAAUAUUAAAGCCGAUUAAUAGGAAAAGAGUCGAAGAAAAAAUGGAAAAUUAAAAUGAAAUGUUAAUCAUAAUUAACAGAAAAUUCUAAUUAUGAUUAACAUUUUGUUCGCUGAUUAAAAUGAAAGAUGAGGAAUUGGAAUUAAAUCGAAGAGAAAAUUUGACAAGAAAAAGAAAAAGAAAAAGAAAGAGAAUGGAAAAGAAUAUCGUUCUUUUCUCUUCUUUCUCUUCUUCUUUUCUCUUCUUCUCUCCGGCAGCCAUAUUAUUCCAUUGCCUCUCUUUGUGUCUUCAUCUCGUUUCUCUUUCUCUUUCUCUCUUUCUGUUUCUCUGUUUCUCUUUUCUUUCUCUUCUCUACAU